rnacentral:rRNA from 1 species
CAGUCGCCAUGGGAAAACGAAGGGGGCUAGCGUUGCUCGGAAUGACUGGGCGUAAAGGGCGCGUAGGCGGCGGCCAAAGUCAGGCGUGAAAUUCCCGGGCUCAACCUGGGGGCUGCGUUUGAUACUUGGUUGCUUGAGUGGGGAAGAGGGUCGUGGAAUUCCCAGUGUAGAGGUGAAAUUCGUAGAUAUUGGGAAGAACACCGGUGGCGAAGGCGGCGACCUGGUUCAUGAUUGACGCUGAGGCGCGAAAGCGUGGGGAGCAAACAGGAUUAGAUACCCCAGUAGUCCCUGUCUCUUAUAC